rnacentral:rRNA from 1 species
CUACGGGACGCUGCAGUGGGGAAUAUUGGACAAUGGGGGAAACCCUGAUCCAGCAAUGCCGCGUGUGUGAAGAAGGCCUGCGGGUUGUAAAGCACUUUCGGUUGGGAGGACUGCUUCUAGCACUAAUAUUGUUGGAAGUUGACGUUACCUUCAGAAGAAGCACCGGCUAACUCCGUGCCAGCAGCCGGGGGAAUACGGAGGUGGCAGGCGUUAAUCGGAAUUACUGGGCGUAAAGCGCGCGUAGGCGGCUAGAUCAGUCGGGUGUGAAAGCCCCGGGCUUAACCUGGGAACUGCAUCCGAUACUGUCUAGCUUGAGUACAGGAGAGGAGAGUGGAAUUCCACAUGUAGCGGUGAAAUGCGUAGAUAUGUGGAGGAACACCAAUGGCGAAGGCAGCUCUCUGGCCUGAUACUGACGCUGAGGUGCGAAAGCGUGGGGAGCAAACAGGAUUAGAUACCCGUGUAGUC